CCUACGGGAGGCUGCAGUGGGGAAUAUUGCACAAUGGGGGAAACUCUGAUGCAGCGACGCCGCGUGAGUGAAGAAGUCAUUCGUUACGUAAAGCUCUAUCAGCAGGGAAGAAAAUGAAGGUACGUGAGUCAGAAGCCCCGGCUAACUACGUGCCAGCAGCCGCGGUAAUACGCAGGGGGCAAGCGUUAUCCGGAUUUACUGGGUGUAAGGGGAGCGUAGAGGGUGCGUCAAGUCUGGAGUGAAAUGCUGCAGCUUAACUGCGGAACUGCUUUUGAAACUGGCGAACUAGAGUGCGAGAGGGGUAAGCGGAAAUCGUAGUGUAGCGGUGAAAUGCGUAGAUAUUAGGAGGAACACCGGUGGCGAAGGCGGCUUACUGGACCGUAACUGACGUUGAGGCUCGAAAGUGUGGGGAUCAAACAGGAUUAGAUACCCGGGUAGUC
rnacentral:rRNA from 1 species